rnacentral:rRNA from 1 species
UACCCCGAGGAAAAGAAAUCAACCGAGAUUCCCCCAGUAGCGGCGAGCGAACGGGGAGGAGCCCAGAGCCUGAAUCAGCAUGUGUGUUAGUGGAAGCGUCUGGAAAGGCGCGCGAUACAGGGUGACAGCCCCGUACACAAAAGCGCAUGUGCUGUGAGCUCGAUGAGUAGGGCGGGACACGUGGUAUCCUGUCUGAAUAUGGGGGGACCAUCCUCCAAGGCUAAAUACUCCUGACUGACCGAUAGUGAACCAGUACCGUGAGGGAAAGGCGAAAAGAACCCCGGCGAGGGGAGUGAAAAAGAACCUGAAACCGUGUACGUACAAGCAGUGGGAGCACCCUUUGGGGUGUGACUGCGUACCUUUUGUAUAAUGGGUCAGCGACUUAUAUUCUGUAGCAAGGUUAACCGUAUAGGGGAGCCGUAGGGAAACCGAGUCUUAACCGGGCGUUAAGUUGCAGGGUAUAGACCCGAAACCCGGUGAUCUAGCCAUGGGCAGGUUGAAGGUUGGGUAACACUAACUGGAGGACCGAACCGACUAAUGUUGAAAAAUUAGCGGAUGACCUGUGGCUGGGGGUGAAAGGCCAAUCAAACCGGGAGAUAGCUGGUUCUCCCCGAAAGCUAUUUAGGUAGCGCCUCGUGAAUUCAUCUCCGGGGGUAGAGCACUGUUUCGGCUAGGGGGCCAUCCCGGCUUACCAACCCGAUGCAAACUGCGAAUACCGGAGAAUGUUAUCACGGGAGACACACGGCGGGUGCUAACGUCCGUCGUGAAGAGGGAAACAACCCAGACCGCCAGCUAAGGUCCCAAAGUCAUGGUUAAGUGGGAAACGAUGUGGGAAGGCCCAGACAGCCAGGAUGUUGGCUUAGAAGCAGCCAUCAUUUAAAGAAAGCGUAAUAGCUCACUGGUCGAGUCGGCCUGCGCGGAAGAUGUAACGGGGCUAAACCAUGCACCGAAGCUGCGGCAGCGACACUGUGUGUUGUUGGGUAGGGGAGC